rnacentral:rRNA from 1 species
GAUAAACGCUAGCGGCGUGCUUUAGGUAUGCAAGUAGAACGGUCCAAGCUUGCUUGGAUAGUUGCGAACGGCUGAGUAACACGUAGGAACUUACCUCUAGGUGGGGAAUAACUCAUCGAAAGAUGAGCUAAUACCGCAUGGUCUCCUGACUUUCGGGUCGUGGAGUAAAGGGCUUAACUGCCCGCCAAGAGAAAGGCCUGCGGCCUAUCAGCUUGUUGGUGAGGUAAUAGCUCACCAAGGCUAUGACGGGUAGGGGGCGUGAGAGCGUGUACCCCCAGAAUGGCACUGAGAUACGGGCCAUACACCUACGGGUGGCGCAACCGGGAAUCGUGCGCAAUGGACGAAAGUCUGACGCCGCGACGCCGCGUGAGGGACGAAUGCCUAUGGGUUGUAAACCUCUUUUGCCAAGCUGGAGACGGCUUGGAGAAUAAGCGCCGGCUAACUACG